rnacentral:rRNA from 1 species
GACGAACGCUGGCGGCGUGCUUAACACAUGCAAGUCGAACGGAAAGGCCCUGCUUGCAGUGUACUCGAGUGGCGAACGGGUGUGUAACACGUGGGUGAUCUGCCCUGCACUUCGGGAUAAGCUUGGGAAACUGGGUCUAAUACCGGAUAGGAACCAGCUGCAGGGUGGUGGUUGGAAAGCUUUUUCGGUGUUGGAUGAGCUCGCGGCCUAUCAGCUUGUUGGUGGGGUAAUGGCUUACCAAGGCGGCGACGGGUAGCCGGCCUGAGAGGGUGAACGGCCACAUUGGGACUGAGAUACGGCCCAGACUCCUACGGGAGGCAGCAGUGGGGAAUAUUGCACAAUGGGCGCAAGCCUGAUGCAGCAACGCCGCGUGGGGGAUGAAGGCCUUCGGGUUGUAAACUGCUUUCGGUAGGGACGAAGCUUUUUGUGACGGUACCUAGAUAAGAAGCACCGGCUAACUACGUG